rnacentral:rRNA from 1 species
UGAACGCUGGCGGCGUGCUUAACACAUGCAAGUCGAACGAAGCACUUUAACCUGAUUCUUCGGAUGAAGGUUUUUGUGGCUGAGUGGCGGACGGGUGAGUAACGCGUGGGUAACCUGCCUCAUACAGGGGGAUAACAGUUAGAAAUGACUGCUAAUACCGCAUAAGACCAAGGAGCCGCAUGGCUCAGUGGGAAAAACUCCGGUGGUAUGAGAUGGACCCGCGUCUGAUUAGGUAGUUGGUGGGGUAACGGCCUACCAAGCCAACGAUCAGUAGCCGACCUGAGAGGGUGACCGGCCACAUUGGGACUGAGACACGGCCCAAACUCCUACGGGAGGCAGCAGUGGGGAAUAUUGCACAAUGGGGGAAACCCUGAUGCAGCGACGCCGCGUGAGCGAAGAAGUAUUUCGGUAUGUAAAGCUCUAUCAGCAGGGAAGAAAAUGACGGUACCUGACUAAGAAGCACCGGCUAAAUACGUGCCAGCAGCCGCGGUAAUACGUAUGGUGCAAGCGUUAUCCGGAUUUACUGGGUGUAAAGGGAGCGUAGACGGCUGUGUAAGUCUGAAGUGAAAGCCCGGGGCUCAACCCCGGGACUGCUUUGGAAACUAUGCAGCUAGAGUGUCGGAGAGGUAAGUGGAAUUCCCAGUGUAGCGGUGAAAUGCGUAGAUAUUGGGAGGAACACCAGUGGCGAAGGCGGCUUACUGGACGAUGACUGACGUUGAGGCUCG